GAGGUGGGAGGAUUGCUUGAGCUUGGGAGGUUGAGGCUGCAGUGAGCUGUGAUCACACCACUGCACUCCGGCCUGGGUGACAGAGUGAGACCUUGUCUCA
ensembl:miRNA